rnacentral:misc_RNA from 1 species
UCCUCUUUACAGAGGCAGUUUCGUCCGAGUUCCCGGCUUUACCCGCUGGUAACAGACAAUGAGGGUUGCGCUCGUUGCGGGACUUAACCCAACAUUUCACAACACGAGCUGACGACAGCCAUGCACCACCUGUGAAGCACCCUCGAAGGCGGCUCCGUUUCGGGAGCUUGCAGCUUCAUGUCAAACCCUGGUAAGGUUCUUCGCGUUGCAUCGAAUUAAGCCAUAUGCUCCACCGCUUGUGCGGGCCCCCGCCAAUUCCUUUGAGUUUCAACCUUGCGGCCGUAGUCCCCAGGCGGAUCACUUAAUGCGUUAGCUGCGGCACCGAGGGGAACCCCCCGACACCUAGUGAUCAUCGUUUAUGGCCAAGACUAC